CUUGUAGGUUCAAACAGCAACUCUUUAUUCCCGAAUUCUCACGGGCACUCUACACACACUUCCUGGGAACACACUCCCUCCACUGGGCUCCGCGCGCCAAUUCACUCAGAACCCCGCGAGAACUCAACGGGAACUCCAAAGUAGUGGGCGCCUGAGGCAGCAGGAUCCGCCCUAAUCCCAGCAGGAUCCGUCCUAAUCCCGGAGCUGCCCUAAUCCCGGAGCAGGGUCACCUUUCAACCAUUCCCUCUAGCAAAAUGCCAGGCCUCAUUCUGACUAAACUGUGGCUCUCAAUAUACUAGAAGAUCUCAGAAAUGACCUUCUCCCAAAUUAACAAGUGAAUUACAACUCCAACAGAGAACAGGGGAAGAAUCACAGCCUUUGGGACAGAAGUCCCCUAUGUUUCUCCUUUGCUAGCAAAGCAGUAAACCUUCUUUUUCUUUUUACUCAAAACUGUGUCCUCAUUAUUGAAUUGGCAUGGGGACAAAGACAGAGCUUUAGGUAACAUUUGGUUCUCCUCAAAUUCAUAUAUUGAAACUUAAUGUGACUCCAUUUUUGAGAAACCAGCCUCUACCUCAGAGCAGGGCCUGUCCAAAGGGGGCGGAGGGAUGACCCUUGUCCUUGGAAAACCCAUUCCUAGGCACAUAGCUACCCUGUUGAGUCAUUUAUCUACCAGAUGUCCUUGAUUCAGCAAAUGCAAGUUCCUGAAAAGACCAAAAGAAUGCUUGAGGCCUAAUUUGGACCAUAGCAACAACCAAUCAGAGUGAGACAGGGAAGAUAUCUGAAAUACCAAACGGCCCUCCCAGUAGUUUAGUGAUUGAUAACAUGUUUAGGCAACCCUGCAAGUUUAGCAUAUACACUCUUGUAACCCCUCAAGGCUUAAACCAAUCAGUUCAAAUGUAUCCACCACUAGUACUAACCAAUCACCCCUGUCCGACUUGUUCCCACCAGUGAAUGUACUAAUCAAUGUUAAGAGUUGUUGUUUGACUUUUCCGUGGUGUGAAAUGAUUUGUUGUGUGAUGUUGUGAUGCAUAGAGUAUCUAAAAAAAACCCAUAAGUCCUCACUGAACUAAGGGUGGGGACCGCUGCAUCGGUUGCAAUAAAGACUCAAAGACUCUCGUGUGAUUGCAUCGGAUUCGGCUCCUGGAGGUCUACUGGGUUCCCAUGAAUCUGGCAUUACAUUUGGGGGCUCGUCCGGGAUUCCCCAGACCCCAGGAUCCCCGAACCGGAGAGCGUAACACCUUUAUUCGUGUGUCUGUUGUCUGCUUUGUUCUGACUACGGCCGUAGAAUCUGUAUUCUGGGCUGGCAACUGGCCUUGCCAUAGGGUCACCAGCCGGGCUCUUGGGAGACAUCCCAGACCCCAGUCUGAGGGGGAUACUCCUCUAAUCUGGAGUCACAGACCCAAUCUGAGGGGGAUACUCCCAAUCUGUUCAUCUGAGGGGAAGGCAGGUAGCUCCUGCCGUAGUUGGCUUGUUGCCAGCACCCUACUUCCAUUUUUGUCAACAAUCUGAAAAAAGGAAUCUGUGUCUUUGUGUGUCUUUUUGUCUGUGUGCUUCUGUUAAAUGUGACGGUAUUGUUUCACUUUGGACUGAUGAAAUGUCCCAAGUUCUGAUCUGCCUUAGAUGUGUGGAGGUCUAUUGGGGUCCCACGAAUCUGGCAUUACAAUUAAAAAGCAGGUUCUUUAGGAGGUGAUUUCAUCAUAAGGGUAAAGCUCUCUUGGAUAAGAUUAAAAUCUUUUUUUUUUAAAUAAUACUAUAGAUGUCAACUUCAUCUACUGCUUUAAUGUCAAUAUUGAAGGAAACCACAAUUCACAAUUAUUUACAACCACUUACUGUGUACAUGCUAAUGUAAGGGUAAAAGAAAUUGAAGUUAAA
rnacentral:lncRNA from 1 species